rnacentral:rRNA from 1 species
AACGAACGCUGGCGGCAGGCCUAACACAUGCAAGUCGAACGCCGUAGCAAUACGGAGUGGCAGACGGGUGAGUAACGCGUGGGAACAUACCCUCCGGUUCGGAAUAACUCAGGGAAACUUGAGCUAAUACCGGAUACGUCCAAGGUUUUAAUCGGCCUUGGAGAAAGAUUUAUCGCUGGAGGAUUGGCCCGCGUCUGAUUAGCUUGUUGGUGAGGUAAUGGCUCACCAAGGCGACGAUCAGUAGCUGGUCUGAGAGGAUGAUCAGCCACAUUGGGACUGAGACACGGCCCAAACUCCUACGGGAGGCAGCAGUGGGGAAUAUUGGACAAUGGGCGCAAGCCUGAUCCAGCCAUACCGCGUGGGUGAAGAA